rnacentral:lncRNA from 1 species
ACAGUCAGUGUAAUUAUCUGCAUGUAAAAUUUACUUUGCUGAUCUUAUCAUGUUGUUUUGCUUGUAACCAUGUGAAUACUUGUUUUCUAUGUGGUUCUGCAGUCUUGCCUACUUGCACGAAGCUAUUGAACCUAAAGUCAUUCAUCGAGAUAUAAAAUCGAGCAAUAUCCUGAUUGAUCGUGAAUUCAAUUCCAAAGUUUCUGACUUUGGAUUGGCCAAGCUCUUGGAUUCAGGAGAAAGUCAUAUAACUACCAGAGUCAUGGGAACAUUUGGGUAUGUACGCCCUUUUCUAAUACACAUGUCUGCUAGCCGUUGAGUAAGAAAUUUAAAUUUAUCAUACGGUAUGGUGUCAAACAUCAGUAUCUUCUGUAAUUUCCAGCUAUGUGGCUCCAGAGUAUGCUAACACUGGCUUGCUAAAUGAAAAGAGUGACAUCUAUAGUUUUGGGGUUCUCCUUCUCGAGGCAAUUACCGGAAGGGACCCGGUGGACUAUAGCCGGCCCUCCAAUGAGGUACGAAGGCCGUACCAGUUAUUCUUUUGAUUUUGACUAGUUUAUCUGACUGUCUAUUCAUCUACUUCUAGUUUGUUGGAGUAAAUAUAAAAAUUCACAUGUAGAGUGUCUAUAGUUGCACCUCUAAAAUUCCUAUUUGUGUUUUUGAUAUUUUAGAUUGUUAAAAUAGAAUAAAUGAUGUGCAAUCUUCCUACAGAUUUCUUACAGACCUGUAGAGGUUCGACAAAUUUAGUCAUCCAUAAGAUGUUGGCUAAAAUUAUAGACAAUAGCUGGGUAUGAUUGGACCAUGAGUUUUUCGAGCUGUUGGCUAAAAGUUUGUAUUUUUAAUAUAUCAACUCAUGUUUUAGCUAAGAGGUUUCAAUGGUUGGAGAUGCUCUAAGAGCAUCUCCAAUAAGUUCUUAAAUAGGCUUCUAACUCAAAAUUUAAAGAGUAUGAUAAAAAAAAUGAGCUCCAAGAGACUGGCUCUUAAAAAACUUAAGAGCCUCUUCUCUCCCCUCUAUUUUAAGAGUCAUGUACUGACUCUUAACUUGUUUUUAAUAAUAAAAAAUGGGAUAAAUAUCAAUGUCAUCACUCAUUUGGUUCAAAUAUAUCAAAUUACUCACUCAUUUGAAAAUUGACUCAAUUUAGUCACUCACUUGUAAUUUUGUAUCAAAAAAAUCACUCUAUCGUUAGUCGAAAUUCUUAAAACUAUUAUAUUUUGAGUUUCUCACAUUUUUUUUUAUAAAUGAUAUUACAUCCAAGUGAAAGAUUCCGAGUUAUAGUAUUUUAGAUAAUAUUUUUAGAUUUUUAAAACUUUAUCAACUAUUUAUUUUUAAUUUUUUGAUUAUUUUAUUUGAUUUAAAUAAAAAAAUAGUAGAUAAAUUUUAAAAAUCUAAAAAUAUUAUCUAAAAUACUAGAACUUAGAAUCUUUCAUUUGGAUGUAAUAUCAUUUAUAAAAAAUGUGAGAAACUCAAUAUAUAAUAUUUUUAAGAAUUUCGAAUAAUGAUGGAGUGAUAUUUUUGAUAUAAAAUUAUAAGUGACUGACUAAAUUGAGUCAAUUUUCAAAUGAGUGAGUAAUUUGAUAUAUUUUAACCAAACGAGUGAUGACAUUGAUAUUUAUCCCAAUAAAAAAUUCAUUCCCUCCACUACAUUAAUUUGAAUCUUUGACAUAAUGGAUUUAGAUAAGAAUAAAAUAUAGGAUAUAGAGAGCAUUGUUGGAGUAUCAAUUUUAAAACUACACUAUAUUACUAAAAAUUAUAUUUUUUAUAUUAUAUUUAGUCUCCGGAGGCUCUCGGACUCUAACCCACUCAAAUAAUGAUACUAGGAAAAUACAAGCAUGUAUAUCUCAACAUUUACUUUAAAGAUUAGAAAUUUGUCCCAACACCUUUAAUAAAAUUUGUACAGUACUCAUUCUCGAGGGCCCACUUUGAGGGCAUCCUUUCUUCUUCUACUUCCAAACUACGCCUCCUCACCUUCUGAGUUGUUUUCUUCCCCUCUGCAUUGCAUAAUUCAUUAUGCUUUGCAGAGCCCAUUUGCUCAAAAAGGAACCCCUUCUUUUUGUUUUUUGGGAAUCUCAAGCUCAAUUACUUCAAUCUUGAUUCACCAAGGUAACUUCUUUGUCUUAAUCUUAAUGCCCUUUGUGUUAGAUUUGCUUUCACCCCAUGUUUCAAGAUUUAGAUUUGCUUCAUUUGUGAUAAAGUUAAGGCCUUUACUUGUGUUGUUUACAAGAGUUAGUACAUGAGAAUGUGUGGACAUGUUUUGCGUACUGUAUUGAGGUUUGGUAUGUAACUAAUUGAUUAGUUGACUUGUCUUAGUUAAUUGUAUCUGUUUGAUGUGUCUUGCUGUAAGAUUCUAAUCAAGUGGAUGUUCAAACAUUAGUCCCUUUGAUUAAGACUGCUACCAACUUUUAAUUGUAGACAACUUUGUAUAUGUUGCAAGUUUCUAGAGUCUCAAGAAGGUUUUGGUAGAAUGACAUUAAUUUGUUUGCAAUUGAAUUGUUUUGCAGAUAUUUGACAUUUUUUUUUGGAUCGAGAAGGCUAUGGGUUGAUUUCGCAGAAACCUGAGAUUUCGGAGGACAAUUUAGUUUUGUUAUUAGGUUAAUGAAAUGGCAUCCGGGGAUUUAAAUGCACAAUUAAAUAAGAAAGUUUUAGGCAGUCAUCUAUGGGUGGUCAUUUGCAUAGGGGUCAGUGCGUUUAUAGUAUUGAUUCUGUGUAUCUUAUCUUUGUGGGUCACAUGUCGAAAAAGAUCUAAGAGGACCAAUAAGAAGUACAAUAACCCUCAAAUACCUUUUGUCUCUAAAGAUAUCAGGGUUGACAGUGUAGGGGUCCAAAAUUUGAAUGAUCAUCCAGAAAGGUUAGUUGUCACAGUUCCUGAUAAAUCAAGUGAUAAGACUUCUGAGAACUUGUUAGCGCACCUAGGUAGAAGUAAAUCAAGUGAUGCUGAUAGCCAGUGCAGCUCGUUGUAUAAUCAAGAGAGGCCCUACAGUUCACAAUCAGGUGAAGAAGGGAGUUCUGGUACGGUUCGAAAGCAGCCCUCGUAUGUAACAGCUUCUCCUUUAAUUGGCUUGCCAGAAAUGUCACAUCUUGGUUGGGGUCAUUGGUUUACUCUUAGAGAUCUUCAGCUUGCAACAAAUCGUUUUUCAGCUGAAAAUGUGAUCGGGGAGGGCGGGUAUGGGGUUGUUUAUCAUGGAACGCUAGUCAAUGGAACUGAAGUAGCAGUGAAGAAGCUUCUAAACAAUCUGUGAGUACAAAUUAACAAACGUGCAAUUUGGAAAAUCACUCUCAAGUCUCGACUCUAUGGUUGCUUCAUUGCAUAUUCUAUUAUAAUCAUCUCGUAUUGUUUUCUGUAGUGGGCAGGCUGAGAGAGAAUUUAGAGUUGAAGUGGAGGCUAUAGGUCAUGUUCGGCAUAAGAAUCUUGUUCGACUUCUUGGCUAUUGUGUGGAAGGGGUUCACAGGUAAGCUUCAAGCUUUUUACUUAUCAGUUAGUUUCUGAAAUGAUCCAAAAAAUGUACUUAAAGUUUGUCUUGUUACUCAGAUAUGUAUAUGCCCUAUAAAAAGUAAACAAGAAUAGUUGAGUUGCGAGUCAGUCAGUGUACUUCUCUGUCAGGAUGGUCCACCUUACUUCUAUUUUGAUCUAACAACUUUGUUUUUCUUUCUUAUUGCAGGAUGCUGGUUUAUGAAUAUAUGAACAAUGGCAACUUAGAACAAUGGCUUCAUGGGGCCAUGCGUGAACGUGGAAGCUUUACUUGGGAUGCCCGUAUGAAGGUCCUUCUUGGCACUGCAAAAGCGUAAGUUAAUUAUGCUCGAGUUGCUUGAACAUUGAUGUUUUUUCUUUUCAUGUACAUAUUAUAUAGUCUUCCUUGUCUGCCUAAUUACUUCCAUCAAUAUCUUUUACUUCCAUUAGGACCUUGUAAAUUUAUUAUCAGUUAUCAAUCAUCUGAGUGUUACAGUCAGUGUAAUUAUCUGCAUGUAAAAUUUACUUUGCUGAUCUUAUCAUGUUGUUUUGCUUGUAACCAUGUGAAUACUUGUUUUCUAUGUGGUUCUGCAGUCUUGCCUACUUGCACGAAGCUAUUGAACCUAAAGUCAUUCAUCGAGAUAUAAAAUCGAGCAAUAUCCUGAUUGAUCGUGAAUUCAAUUCCAAAGUUUCUGACUUUGGAUUGGCCAAGCUCUUGGAUUCAGGAGAAAGUCAUAUAACUACCAGAGUCAUGGGAACAUUUGG